GAUGAACGCUAGCGGGAGGCUUAACACAUGCAAGUCGAGGGGCAGCAUAGGGUAGCAAUACUCUGAUGGCGACCGGCAAACGGGUGAGUAACGCGUAUGCAACCUACCCUGUACAGGGGGAUAACCCGGAGAAAUUCGGACUAAUAUCCCGUAAUAAUAUCCGGAGGCAUCUUUGGAUAUUUAAAGUUUCGACGGUACGGGAUGGGCAUGCGUAACAUUAGCUGGUUGGUAAGGUAACGGCUUACCAAGGCUAUGAUGUUUAGGGGUCCUGAGAGGGUGGUCCCCCACACUGGUACUGAGACACGGACCAGACUCCUACGGGAGGCAGCAGUGAGGAAUAUUGGUCAAUGGGCGCAAGCCUGAACCAGCCAUCCCGCGUGCAGGAAGACGGCCCUAUGGGUUGUAAACUGCUUUUCCAGGGAGAGAAACUUACGCACGUGUUGCGUGACUGACGGUACCCUGGGAAUAAGCAUCGGCUAACUCCGUGCCAGCAGCCGCGGUAAGCUCGUCUCUA
rnacentral:rRNA from 1 species